rnacentral:lncRNA from 1 species
AUGUGGAAGAUUGAUUAAUUGGUAACCGUGACUAUACCUGUAAAGUUUGCAGGAUUUAGUUGUGACUGUACUAUGGAAAUUUCUCUACUGGUACUGAAAACAGGCCGUGUGGCAAUUUUACUGAUAUUAAUUCAUGCUCAACAAGGAAGCUAAGAAAAGACUUGACAAAUAUUACCAAAGCCUUUGGCAAGUUGACAAGUUCGAACAAUUGGUUUUUGCCACCAUACAUUUUGAUGAGGACAUUACUUGUUUGGGCUAGCUUAUUUUCUUGUGGAUCAUUUGCUAUUGUUUUAUUUUAUUGGGCUUGUAUUAUUGGGUUUGGCCCAAGCCCACUUACUGUUUGGGUCUAUUGGUUUCUCUAUUUAUAAGACUUGAUAAUUUAAUUUCAAGGAGACGACGAAGAAUUAGAUUGGAUGUUGUUUUGGCUUGAAGCCGUUUCCUCCUUCCCUCCUCUCUUUCCCCUAGUCUCUUCCCCGAUUUCUUCCCCCUUUUUUGCUGCCCUCUUCGCCUUGUUGCUAGAAUUUUUGUUCUUGUGCUACACAGCUAUUUAAGUUCUCUGCAAGAAUCAUCCCACUUCUCCUGCAUCAAUUUUUAGUAUCAGAGUCUAACCUGGUUUUCAAUCUCUUUCAUUGAAAAUUGGAGUCAAAAUUGACAUGGAAGUGAUACAAAGCCAUAUUGUUCAACACCAUAUAUCCCUGACCAGAAGUUGAUCCAUCCAUCCUCUCCAACCCGCACACAAACAUCUGGCCAAACGCAUCGUGACACCGUCCGACUACAUACUGCAACUGCCAAUACCCACUACCAUACAAUCAUCCCUGACAGUUAACUCCAUAAACCUUCAGCCUACUCUCCAAUUUUAAAUUCACAAACCCACCGCACCAAAGCUGCCUGCACAAGACAAACUCCCCACCUAACAGAGCCAAAAUCUGGAUUUCGUCAUAAAAAUGGUUGCACUUCUAUCUGUUUAUCCAACUCAUCCAACGGUAAUUGCUAACAGUUUCUUCUCUGCAUCUGUUUCAGCAACCGCUUGGUAAAACAAACCUCCACAGCAACUAUAACCUACAACAAUCCCCAGCAUCAUCUUCAACACACACCAUACCUGUUAUUGCGAAACUCACAAAACUUCUUCAUUAACACACACCGCCUUUCCACCUCUCCUAGCGCCGACGACCAUCUCUUGUCUCCUUACACAACGCAAUACCCACUAACUGCCAACCACCACCACUUACGGUGCCUCUCUUUUAUGUUUAAUUGCAGCAGCCAACAAAUCCAACCAAAAAAAGAGGAGGAAAACUGCCCACUGCCACAUCACAAUCGGCCCAAUACAUACAAUACCCAUACUUAACAACAAGCCCAAUACACAAAAUAACCAAAAGAAAUUCAUACCACCCAGCAAUCGGCCCAACUCUAAACCUCAACCCCCACCGUUGCUUGUGACCCCACUCCAUCGAGUCGCACCCCUCUGCGACUUUCUCUCCUUGCCAUUAGCUACCUUCCAUAAUCAAUGUCGCCGCAAAUUUCCAACAAAUCAUCCAACUUCGUCGCUAUUCUUCAAUUCCAAUCGUCCCCUUCUCCACCCCGAUCCAAAUCACAAAUCGACCCAUCUCCUUCUUUAAUUUCAAGCCACUGCGAUGCCAGCAAAUUUCGAAAUUCCGGUUGACCCAUAACCAAUCUGCAGCCGUUCUCUCUCCCCAGUGGCUAGAGUCAAUGUUGACAACCAAAGUUGGGUUGGUGAUUUGUUUGUAGAUUUGAAACUCUGAAUUG